rnacentral:rRNA from 1 species
GACGAACGCUGGCGGCGUGCUUAACACAUGCAAGUCGAACGGAAAGGCCCUGCUUUUGUGGGGUGCUCGAGUGGCGAACGGGUGAGUAACACGUGAGUAACCUGCCCUUGACUUUGGGAUAACUUCAGGAAACUGGGGCUAAUACCGGAUAGGAGCUCCUGCUGCAUGGUGGGGGUUGGAAAGUUUCGGCGGUUGGGGAUGGACUCGCGGCUUAUCAGCUUGUUGGUGGGGUAGUGGCUUACCAAGGCUUUGACGGGUAGCCGGCCUGAGAGGGUGACCGGCGACAUUGGGACUGAGAUACGGCGCAGACUCCUACGGGAGGCAGAAGUGGGGAGUAUUGCACAAUGGGCGGAAGCCUGAUGCGGCAACGCCGCGUGCGGGAUGACGGCCUUCGGGUUGUAAACCGCUUUCGCCUGUGACGAAGCGUGAGUGACGGUAAUGGGUAAAGAAGCACCGGCUAACUACGUG